rnacentral:rRNA from 1 species
UACAGAGGUCUCAAGCGUUGUUCGGAUUCAUUGGGCGUAAAGGGUGCGUAGGCGGCGCGGUAAGUCGGGUGUGAAAUCUCGGAGCUUAACUCCGAAACUGCAUUCGAUACUGGCGUGCUUGAGGACUGGAGAGGAGACUGGAAUUCAUGGUGUAGCAGUGAAAUGCGUAGAGAUCAUGAGGAAGACCAGUGGCGAAGGCGGGUCUCUGGACAGUUCCUGACACUGAGACACGAAGGCCAGGGGGAGCAAACGGG